GGGCCAAUGGUCUAGCGGUAUGAUUCAUCCUUAGGGUUCCUUUCACCUCCUGGAUGAGGUCCCGGGUUCGAGUCCCGGUUGGCCCC